UUGACGCAGCACUAUAAAGCAUAGCAACCCAUUCACUUUCUUUUUCCGUGAAAAUGACAAACUGGUUUGUGCGUUUCAUUGGAGAGAACGUGGGGUGACCUUGAGCGAUGGCUGAAAAGGUGUGUGGAUGCGCAUCAGUAGAACAUGCCUGGCUCUCCUCCACCAGUCAUACAAGGAGAAUGGUCUAAUGGCUCCAAUCAAAAAAGAGAGCUGGCCAAAGCAAGCAUGGGUUACACCUGAAGCAUAAGACCUUGAACUUCAUCAACAACUACGCAGAGGAUAAUGCAAUAGUAUUACCAGAACACCACCCAGGACACAAAUACUUUGGUGGAAAGCUGCUGCCAUCUCAUGUGACAAAAGCAGCAGUGUGGCAUCUCUACAAGAAAUCGAUGACAACACUUGAGGUACGUGUAGUCAGGCUGUCUUCCUUCACGAAUCUGUGGAGAAAUUUGCUGCCCCACAUCUCAAGCACCAAGCCCAGGACAGACCUGUGCUGGCAGUGCAAUGGGAACAACUAUGAGGUCUUCUGAUCUGCCACUCUGCCAGAAGCUGUUAAAUCAGCCAAGCUGAAGAAGCAAGAGCAGCAUCUCAUGCUUGUUCAAUGAGCGGUCUGUCUACCAGAAGAUAGUUGCUAACUGCAAAACCACCUGUCAAGACCUGCAGUUGUCUCUGGUGGCCCCUACUGAACCAGCAAGCAAAUACAUCAGGAUGCAUUACAGCUUUGAUUUUGCUCAACAAGUAAGCAACAUAUUCUCCUUUAUACUGAUUAAGGACAUAGAUGGAUAGAUAUAA